AACGAACGCUGGCGGCAGGCUUAACACAUGCAAGUCGAGCGCCCCGCAAGGGGAGCGGCAGACGGGUGAGUAACGCGUGGGAACGUACCCUUUGCUACGGAAUAGCUCCGGGAAACUGGAAUUAAUACCGUAUGUGCCCUACGGGGGAAAGAUUUAUCGGCAAAGGAUCGGCCCGGGUUGUAUUAGCUAGUUGGUGGGGUAAUGGCCUACCAAGGCGACGAUCCAUAGCUGGUCUGAGAGGAUGAUCAGCCACAUUGGGACUGAGACACGGCCCAAACUCCUACGGGAGGCAGCAGUGGGGAAUAUUGGACAAUGGGCGCAAGCCUGAUCCAGCCAUGCCGCGUGAGUGAUGAAGGCCUUAGGGUUGUAAAGCUCUUUCACCGGAGAAGAUAAUGACGGUAUCCGGAGAAGAAGCUCCGGCUAACUUCGUGCCAGCCGCCGCCGUAAUAC
rnacentral:rRNA from 1 species